rnacentral:miRNA from 1 species
CUGUCAGUCUCUGGUUAUAUCCCAAGUCUCAGUUGGACCUGGAUAUAACCAGAGCCUGACUGUA